AGUCGAGCGGAGAAUGAAGGAAGCUUGCUUCUUUCAUUCUUAGCGGCGGACGGGUGAGUAACACGUAGGCAACCUGCCCUCAAGCUUGGGACAACUACCGGAAACGGUAGCUAAUACCGAAUACAUGAUUUGUUCGCCUGAACGAAUCUGGAAAGACGGAGCAAUCUGUCACUUGAGGAUGGGCCUGCGGCGCAUUAGCUAGUUGGUGAGGUAACGGCUCACCAAGGCGACGAUGCGUAGCCGACCUGAGAGGGUGAUCGGCCACACUGGGACUGAGACACGGCCCAGACUCCUACGGGAGGCAGCAGUAGGGAAUCUUCCGCAAUGGACGCAAGUCUGACGGAGCAACGCCGCGUGAGUGAUGAAGGUUUUCGGAUCGUAAAGCUCUGUUGCCAGGGAAGAACGUCCGGUAGAGUAACUGCUAUCGGAGUGACGGUACCUGAGAAGAAAGCCCCGGCUAACUACGUGCCAGCAGCCGCGGUAAUACGUAGGGGGCAAGCGUUGUCCGGAAUUAUUGGGCGUAAAGCGCGCGCAGGCGGCUUUUUAAGUCCGGUGUCACAGCCCAAGGCUCAACCUUGGGUCGCACUGGAAACUGGAGAGCUUGAGUACAGAAGAGGAAAGUGGAAUUCCACGUGUAGCGGUGAAAUGCGUAGAGAUGUGGAGGAACACCAGUGGCGAAGGCGACUUUCUGGGCUGUAACUGACGCUGAGG
rnacentral:rRNA from 1 species